rnacentral:sRNA from 1 species
UGGACUGGCAGCCCUGCAUCUCUUCUGUGUGCCCAGCACAGAUGCAGCACAGGUAGUGACAGUGCAACAUCCCCACACUGCACCGCCACACGCCUCACCCUCACCUGGAGAGGCCACCUCUAGAGGGGAAGGGAGAGUUCGGAUCCGUGUCUCUGUUAAGAUUCA